rnacentral:rRNA from 1 species
UACGUAGGGGGCGAGCGUUAUCCGGAUUUACUGGGUGUAAAGGGAGCGUAGACGGUUAAUCAAGUCUGAAGUGAAAGCCCGCGGCUCAACUGCGGAACGGCUUUGGAAACUGAGUAACUGGAGUACAGGAGGGGCAGGCGGAAUUCCUGGUGUAGCGGUGAAAUGCGUAGAUAUCAGGAGGAACACCGGCGGCGAAGGCGGCCUGCUGGACUGAAACUGACGUUGAGGCUCGAAAGCGUGGGGAGCAAACAGG